rnacentral:rRNA from 1 species
AGGGCACCACCAGGAGUGGAGCCUGCGGCUUAAUUUGACUCAACACGGGAAAUCUCACCAGGCCCGGACACCGGAAGGAUUGACAGAUUGAGAGCUCUUUCUUGAUUCGGUGGGUGGUGGUGCAUGGCCGUUCUUAGUUGGUGGAGCGAUUUGUCUGGUUAAUUCCGAUAACGAACGAGACUCUGGCCUAUUAACUAGACGUUAGAUCCUUUAUGGGUUUGACGAUGCUUCUUAGAGGGACGGGCGGCUUUUAGCCGCACGAGAAUGAGCAAUAACGGGUCUGUGAUGCCCUUAGAUGUUCUGGGCUGCACGCGCGCUACACUGAAGAAAUCAGCGUGUGUUCCCUAUCCGAAAGGAUUGGGAAACCCGUUGAACCCUCUUCGUGAUGGGGAUUGGGGAUUGCAAUUAUUCCCCAUGAACGAGGAAUUCCCAGUAGGCGCGAGUCAUAAGCUUGCGUCGAUUACGUCCCUGCCCUUUGUACACACCGCCCGUCGCUACUACCGAUUGAGUGAUUUAGUG